AGCAGCCGCCUCGGGAAUACAGAGGGUGCGAGCGUUAAUCGGAUUUACUGGGCGUAAAGCGUGCGUAGGCGGCUAAUUGAGUCGGAUGUGAAAUCCCCGAGCUUAACUUGGGAAUUGCAUUCGAUACUGGUUAGCUAGAGUGUGGGAGAGGAUGGUAGAAUUCCAGGUGUAGCGGUGAAAUGCGUAGAGAUCUGGAGGAAUACCGAUGGCGAAGGCAGCCAUCUGGCCUAACACUGACGCUGAGGUACGAAAGCAUGGGGAGCAAACAGGAUUAGAUACCCCCGUAGUCCCUGUCUCUUAUAC
rnacentral:rRNA from 1 species